rnacentral:rRNA from 1 species
UCCUACGGGAGGCAGCAGUGGGGAAUAUUGGGCAAUGGGCGAAAGCCUGACCCAGCGACGCCGCGUGAGGGAAGAAGAUCUUCGGAUUGUAAACCUUAGUCAACAGGGAAGAAGAAAGUGACGGUACCUGUGGAGGAAGCCACGGCUAACUACGUGCCAGCAGCCGCGGUAAU